AGAGUUUGAUUCUGGCUCAGAAUGAACGCUGGCGGCGUGCCUAACACAUGCAAGUUGAACGAGAAAGAUCUUCGGAUUGAGUACAGUAGCGAACGGGUGAGUAACGCGUGAGAAUCUACCUUUUAAUGGGGGAUACCUUCUGGAAACGGGAGUUAAUACCGCAUAAGCCCGAAAGGGGAAAGACGGCCUCUUUGCUGUCGUUAGAAGAUGAGCUUGCGUACUAUUAGCUAGUUGGUAGGGUAAAGGCCUACCAAGGCAGAGAUGGUUAGCCGACCUGAGAGGGUGACCGGCCACAUUGGGACUGAGAUACGGCCCAGACUCCUACGGGAGGCAGCAGUGGGGAAUAUUGCACAAUGGGCGCAAGCCUGAUGCAGCGACGUCGCGUGGAGGAUGAAGGUUUUCGGAUCGUAAACUCCUGUUAAGUGGGAAGAAAGAGGGGUUGUUAAUAGCAACUCAGGAUGACGGUACCACUAGAGAAAGCACCGGCAAACUUCGUGCCAGCAGCCGCGGUAAUACGAAGGGUGCUAGCGUUGUUCGGAAUUACUGGGCGUAAAGGGUAUGUAGGCGGUUUAUUAAGUCUGUUGUUAAAUUUUCCAGCCUAACUGGAAGUCGGCGAUAGAAACUGGUUUACUAGAGUAUGGGAGAGAGAGGUGGAAUUCUCGGAGUAGCGGUAAAAUGCGUAGAUCUCGAGAGGAACACCGAUGGCGAAGGCAGCCUCUUGGCCCAUUACUGACGCUGAGAUACGAAAGCGUGGGGAGCAAACAGGAUUAGAUACCCUGGUAGUCCACGCUGUAAACGAUGAUCACUAGAUGUCGGUUUCGCAUUGCGAGAUCGGUGUCGUAGCUAACGCGUUAAGUGAUCCGCCUGGGGACUACGAUCGCAAGAUUAAAACUCAAAGAAAUUGACGGGGGUCCGCACAAGCGGUGGAACAUGUGGUUUAAUUCGAUAUUACGCGAGGAACCUUACCUAGGCUUGACAUGUUAGCAGUAGGUGGGAUGAAAGUCCUGCCGAUCGUAUCCAAUCGAAGGCUUACACAGGUGCUGCAUGGCUGUCGUCAGCUCGUGCCGUGAGGUGUUGGGUUAAGUCCCGCAACGAGCGCAACCCCUGCUUUCAGUUGCUACCGGGUCAUGCCGAGCACUCUGAAAGGACUGCCCAGGAUAACGGGGAGGAAGGUGGGGAUGACGUCAAGUCAGCAUGGCCUUUAUGCCUGGGGCCACACACGUGCUACAAUGGCCGGUACAAAGCGCUGCAAACCCGUGAGGGGGAGCCAAUCGCAAAAAACCGGCCUCAGUUCAGAUUGAGGUCUGCAACUCGACCUCAUGAAGGCGGAAUCGCUAGUAAUCGCGGAUCAGCACGCCGCGGUGAAUACGUUCCCGGGCCUU
rnacentral:rRNA from 1 species